UACAGAGGUCUCAAGCGUUGUUCGGAUUCAUUGGGCGUAAAGGGUGCGUAGGCGGCGCGGUAAGUCGGGUGUGAAAUCUCGGAGCUUAACUCCGAAACUGCAUUCGAUACUGCCGUGCUUGAGGACUGGAGAGGAGACUGGAAUUUACGGUGUAGCGGUGAAAUGCGUAGAUAUCAGGAGGAACACCAGUGGCGAAGGCGCCGCUCUGGGCCGUGACUGACGCUGAAGAGCGAAAGCGUGGGUAGCAAACAGG
rnacentral:rRNA from 1 species